AAUCUUCCACAAUGGACGAAAGUCUGAUGGAGCAACGCCGCGUGAGUGAAGAAGGUUNNNGGAUCNUCAAGCUCUGUUGUAAGNGACNAACACGUACAGGAGUAACUGCCUGUACCUUGACGGUACCUUACCAGAAAGCCACGGCUAACUACGUGCCAGCAGCCGCGGUAAUACGUAGGUGGCAAGCGUUGUCCGGAAUUAUUGGGCGUAAAGCGCACGCAGGCGGUCCUUUAAGUCUGAUGUGAAAGCCCACGGCUCAACCGUGGAGGGUCAUUGGAAACUGGAGGACUUGAGUACAGAAGAGGAAAGCGGAAUUCCACGUGUAGCGGUGAAAUGCGUAGAGAUGUGGAGGAACACCAGUGGCGAAGGCGGCUUUCUGGUCUGUAACUGACGCUGAGGCGCGAAAGCGUGGGGAGCAAACA
rnacentral:rRNA from 1 species